AAAAAGAAAAAGAAGGGAGUUUUGCUGGGCCUUGCUGAAAAGUGGCGGUAACACAAGGCACGAGACGAGCGGCGGGAAGAUGAGGCUGCUGGGCAGGCACGUCGCCCCGAGGCAGAUCGCGCUCUUCGCCGCCGGCAGGCUGGUGUUCUUCGGGGCGACGACGUACGACGUGCACCGGUCGAUCAAGAACAACGACCGGCCGCCGACGAGGGAGCAGGUGGAGGCGCUCCAGGCCUACAUCGACUCCAGGAAGAACUAACAUACAUAUGUGCGCAGAGCGCGCGCGUAUCAUUUGGUAUAUUCUGUGAACUGAAUUCCCUUGCGAUGAACAUGGAUGGAAUUAGGCAUCACCAGGUGUUCGACGCUAUUCCCGAUUUCCCAUGAGGAGGAAUUGAGCGCGUGCAUAUGGAUUUGCAAUAAUCUGUAAAGGCUUCAGUGUGGUCUGUAAUUAGAUGCACAGCUCUAUGUUCAGUGAGAAUUACAAGGUUUACCAACCUGUACGUAAUGAAAUAUGAACAUGUUCAGAGAGGCGUUCAUCCUGCUCUUGUAGCCA